GAGAUCGGAAGCGAGAAUGUUGACAUGAGUAGCGACAAACAGGGUGAAAAACCCUGUCGCCGAAAGUCCAAGGGUUCCUGCUUAAAGCUAAUCUGAGCAGGGUAAGCCGGCCCCUAAGGCGAGGCCAAAAGGCGUAGUCGAUGGGAACCAGGUUAAUAUUCCUGGGCCAGUGGGAUGUGACGGAUCGCAGAUGUAGUUUGCCCUUAUCGGAUUGGGUGGGCUGCUGAGCGGUUCCUGGAGAUAGCCCCACAUCAGACCGUACCCUAAACCGACACAGGUGGACUGGUAGAGUAUACCAAGGCGCUUGAGAGAACCACGUUAAAGGAACUCGGCAAAAUGCCUCCGUAAGUUCGCGAGAAGGAGGCCCCAUAUGUGCGCAAGCAUGUGUGGGGGGCACAAACUAGGGGGUGGCGACUGUUUACUUAAAACACAGGGCUGUGCGAAGCCGUAAGGCGACGUAUACAGUCUGACGCCUGCCCGGUGCUGGAAGAUUAAGAGGAGGGGUGCAAGCUCUGAAUUGAAGUCCCAGUAAACGGCGGCCGUAACUAUAACGGUCCUAAGGUAGCGAGAUUCCUUGUCGGGUAAGUUCCGACCUGCACGAAUGGCGUAACGAUCUCCCCGCUGUCUCUAACGUGGACUCAGCGAAAUUGAACUGUCUGUCAAGAUGCAGACUACCCGCGGUUAGACGGAAAGACCCCAUGAACCUUUACUCCAGCUUUGCAUUGGCAACAGGACUGUGAUGUGCAGGAUAGGUGGUAGGCAUUGAAGCGGGGACGCCAGUCUUCGUGGAGCCUCCCUUGAGAUACCACCCUUCGCCGUCUUGUUGUCUAACCGCGACCCGUUAUCCGGGCCCGGGACCGUGCAUGGUGGGGAGUUUGACUGGGGCGGUCGCCUCCCAAAUUGUAACGGAGGCGCGCGAUGGUUGGCUCAGACCGGUCGGAAAUCGGUCGUUGAGUGCAAUGGCAGAAGCCAGCCUGACUGCAAGACUGACAAGUCGAGCAGAGACGAAAGUCGGUCAUAGUGAUCCGGUGGUCCCAAGUGGGAGGGCCAUCGCUCAACGGAUAAAAGGUACUCUGGGGAUAACAGGCUGAUGAUGCCCAAGAGUCCAUAUCGACGGCAUCGUUUGGCACCUCGAUGUCGGCUCAUCUCAUCCUGGGGCUGGAGCAGGUCCCAAGGGUACGGCUGUUCGCCGUUUAAAGAGGUACGUGAGCUGGGUUUAGAACGUCGUGAGACAGUUCGGUCCCUAUCUGCCGUGGGUGCAGGAGACUUGAGAAGAGUUGACCCUAGUACGAGAGGACCGGGUUGAACGAACCACUGGUGGACCAGUUAUCGUGCCAACGGUAGUGCUGGGUAGCUAUGUUCGGACAGGAUAACCGCUGAAGGCAUCUAAGCGGGAAGCCCCCUUCAAAACAAGGUCUCCCUUGAGGGCCGUGGAAGACGACCACGUCGAUAGGCCAGAGGUGUAAGCGCAGCAAUGCGUUCAGCUGACUGGUGCUAAUUGCCC
rnacentral:rRNA from 1 species